GGGGGCAUAGUGUAACGGUAGCACAACGGUCUCCAAAACCGUUAGUUAAGGUUCAAAUCCUUAUGCCCCUGCCA
rnacentral:tRNA from 2 species